AGGUGCGAUCAUACCAGUGUUAAUGCACCGGAUCCCAUCAGAACUCCGCAGUUAAGGACGCUUGGGCUAGAGUAGUACUCGAAUGGGUGACCUCCCGGGAAGUCCUAGUGUUGCACCCU
rfam:Picea glauca, whole genome shotgun sequence.